UCUUGAUUGGUCUAGUGGUCAGGAUACCUGCUUGUCAUCAGUUUGCAAUGCGCAGGUGGCCGGGGUUCGAUUCCCCGAUCGAGAG
rnacentral:tRNA from 1 species